UACGGAGGGGGCUAGCGUUGUUCGGAAUUACUGGGCGUAAAGCGCACGUAGGCGGCGUAUCCAGUCAGGGGUGAAAGGCCUGGGCUCAACCCGGGAACUGCCUUUGAUACUGAUAUGCUUGAGUACGGGAGAGGGUAGUGGAAUUCCCAGUGUAGAGGUGAAAUUCGUAGAUAUUGGGAAGAACACCGGUGGCGAAGGCGGCUACCUGGCCCGGAACUGACGCUGAGGUGCGAAAGCGUGGGGAGCAAACAGG
rnacentral:misc_RNA from 1 species